rnacentral:rRNA from 1 species
UGAUCCUGCCAGUAGUCAUAUGCUUGUCUCAAAGAUUAAGCCAUGCAUGUCUCAGUACAAGCCAUAUUAAGGUGAAACCGCGAAAGGCUCAUUAAAUCAGUUAUGGUUCCUUAGAUCGUACCCACAUUUACUUGGAUAACUGUGGUAAUUCUAGAGCUAAUACAUGCAAACAGAGCUCCGACCGGAGACGGAAGGAGUGCUUUUAUUAGAUCAAAACCAAUCGGCGGCAAUUGGGUUUACUUAAUUGUUCGUCGCACUUUUUGGUGACUCUGAAUAACUUUUGGCUGAUCGCACGGUCUCGCACCGGCGACGCAUCUUUCAAAUGUCUGCCUUAUCAACUGUCGAUGGUAGGUUCUGCGCCUACCAUGGUUGUAACGGGUAACGGGGAAUUAGGGUUCGAUUCCGGAGAGGGAGCCUGAGAAACGGCUACCACAUCCAAGGAAGGCAGCAGGCGCGCAAAUUACCCACUCCCGGCACGGGGAGGUAGUGACGAAAAAUAACGAUACGGGACUCAUCCGAGGCCCCGUAAUCGGAAUGAGUACACUUUAAAUC